rnacentral:lncRNA from 1 species
UUCGAUGGCAGCGGCAAAAGGGAUCAGCUGAGAUGGUGGAGUAGAAAGACCCAGAGCUCAUAUCCUCUCACAGACACACCAAUAAUACAACUAUUUAUACAAUAGCCAUUGAUGAAAAAGGCUGGAUGCUACUAGAAAAGAUCUUUUACAACUAAAGAUGUUAAAGACGCAUACCCUCAGCCAGAGGCUCACAGGAUCAGCUUUUGACAAUAUCAUUUUUAGGACGUGCGUAACAAUUCAUCAGGUAUUCAGUUUCAAGGAUCUCACUCAGAGCUGGCCCUCUGUGAAUGUUGCUGAUAGGUGCCUGACUGCACAGAGCUGAUGGUGACAAAGGUAAACACCACAUUAAACACACACACACACACACACACACACACACACACACACAGAGCAGACUUUUACUGGAGCCAAAUCUUCCCUAUGGUGGAAUAUACCUGCUGUAUUUCCAUUGAAAAUGCAACAUGUUGGUUGGUGUGAAAACUGAUGUCAGGAAAUGCCCCCAAGAGAACAAAGCAUGUAUUAGGUGAUAAUGGAUGUUAUUACUGGAAGCAACAUUUGUCUCCUCGUUUUUUGUUUUUUUUUUUUUCCUUCCUGACUCUCAUUCAACCAUAGUAAAUUUUAAUAUGUGUGUCAGGUUUCCCGCAAUUUAUAUAAAAUGAAACUCUUUGGAAAAGAUAACAC